rnacentral:rRNA from 1 species
GACAGAGGUGCCAAGCGUUAGGCGGAAUCACUGGGCUUAAAGCGUGUGUAGGCGGGUGCCUUAGUACCUUGUGAAAUCCCCCGGCUCAACCGGGGAACGGCUGGGUAUACUGGGUGCCUUGGGUCAUCUAGGGGCUGCCGGAACAAAUGGUGGAGCGGUGAAAUGCGUAGAUAUCAUUUGGAACGCCAACGGCGAAAGCAGGCAGCUGGGGAUGCACCGACGCUGAGACACGAAAGCCAGGGGAGCGAACGGG